rnacentral:ncRNA from 2 species
CUCUUAUCCAGAGAGGCAGAGGGACCGGCCCUGUGAAGCCUCGGCAACCAGGAGAUGGUAAAUUGGUAAACUGGUAAACUGGUAAAUUGGUAAAUUGGUGGUCUGCUCGAUGGGCAGCGACUUGCCACCAAUCUACCAACCUACCAAUCUACCAAUCUACCAGGUUACCACCCCAUGGUGCCAAUUCCGGCAGAGUUGAUCUGGAAGAUGAGAG